UACGUAGGGUGCGAGCGUUAUUCGGAAUUACUGGGCGUAAAGCGUGCGCAGGCGGUUUUGUAAGCCAGAUGUGAAAUCCCCGGGCUUAACCUGGGAAUGGCAUUUGGGACUGCAAGGCUCGAGUGCGGCAGAGGUGACUGGAAUUCCUGGUGUAGCAGUGAAAUGCGUAGAUAUCAGGAGGAACACCGAUGGCGAAGGCAGGUCUCUGGGCUGGCACUGACGCUCAGGCACGAAAGCGUGGGGAGCAAACAGG
rnacentral:rRNA from 1 species